rnacentral:lncRNA from 1 species
CCAAGAACCACACCACACACAACCAGUCCCGCAAAUGGCACAGAAAUGGCAUCAAGAGGGGUUGGGGAUUUAGCUCAGCGGUAGAGCACUUGCCUAGUAAGCACAAGGCCCUGGGUUCGGUCCCCAGCUCAAAAAAAAAAAAAAAAAAAAAAAAAAAAAAAAAAAAAAAAGAAAGGAAAAAAAAAGAAAAAAGGAAAUGGCAUCAAGAAACCCCGGUCACAAAGAUACGAAUCUCUUAAGGGGGUCGACCCCAAGUUUCUGAGGAACAUGCGCUUUGCCAAGAAACACAACAAGAAAGGCCUGAAGAAGAUGCAGGCCAACAAUGCCAAGGCCGUGAGUGCACGAGCAGAGGCCAUCAAGCCCUCGUGAAGCCUCAGGCCAUCAAGCCCAAGAAGCCAAAGGGCUCUAGCCGCAAACUCAGCCGUCUGGCUUUCAUCCCUCACCCCAAGCUUGGGAAGAAGAUUCGAAGCUACAUGGCCAAGGGUCGUAGGCUCUGCCAACCAAAGCCCAAGGUUCAAACCAAGGCAGAGGCCACAGCUCCAGCUAAGGCCCAGGCCAAAGCUCCAGCCCAGGCUCCCAAGGGUGCCCAGGCCCCUGUGAAGGCCCCAUAGAAAAGGCUCCUGCCAGUGUGAAGACAGACGACUGCUGUGACACACCCACCUACACACUAUUUGCAGAUGACCAGUGUCCUAUGCUGUUUUUACAAAUAAACUUGAGACAAGAAAAAAAAAAAAAAAAAAAAAAAAAAAAAGAA